AGUCCUUCCCACAGAGAGCGGUUUGAUAUGUCACUGAAACCAGCAUCCAGGUGGUAUUGCUCCAUAUGCCUGAGACCCUAACAAAAGCCUAAUUACAACUCAUAUGCCUGGAGCCAGGACAUGUGCAGGAUGGUGAUGUAACUUUCCUCUCUGGAAUGGGUCCUGCACAAAGGAAUGAUAGUAACAUAUUGCAAAGCCAGACACACAGCCAUGAUGGUCCAAGUUAUAUUGGGAUUCAGCCAAUAGAAGAUAUUUUGCCUGUCAUCCCUAAGCUUAGGACAAUAGGGUCCUGCCCACAAGAAAGAUUGUGACAUCUCACUGGACAAGCACCCACCCAGACUCUGCCAAGAGAGGGGAUUAUUACAUAUUGCAGAGCCCAGCACCUAGGUGGAGUGACUCUCAUCUUUUUCUUCUACCCCGUAUAUAGCCAGCUUGGUGACCUACUAUUUGAGUCUAUACCCAGGCCCAGACCACAGAUGAAAUUGUGCAAUAUGUGGAACAAACACCUAAACAAUAUAUAACACCUUCCUUGGCUCUGUCUACAAAGGGCACUUUUAUAUAUCACUGGGACCAUCAACCAGGUGAUGUUGUGCCAUAUAACUGAGACCGUAUCAAAAGCCUAAUAACAAGACGUAUGUCUGGAGCCCCGAUAUGCACAGGAUGGUGAUAUAACCCUCUUCUCUGGAAUGGGCCCCACACAAAGGAAGGAUAGUGACAUAUUGCAAGCCCAGGCACACAGGCCCAGAGCACAGUUGAAAUUGUGACAUAUGUACACCAAGCAACCAAGCAAUGUAUAACACCUCAUUUGGCAAUGGAAUCGAGGGCACUUUUACAUAUCACUGAGACCAGCGCCCAGCUGAUGUGAAAUAUUGGCCUGAACCCUGCCUACAAAAGCAUUGUGGCUUUUAUCUAGCUCCAUUACAUAAGUGAUGUGACUUCCUUCUACUGCCUUGGCCCUGCACUUAUGGUGAAUCGUGACACAAAAUUGGGUAGAGCAACCAGCCUGGGCCCUGACCAGCACAGAGAUUGAGGCAUAUUGCUGAACCCAGGACCAAGAUGAAGUCACUCUCCUGCCUUGAUCCUGCACACAGGGACCCUUGUGACAUAUAUACAGGCCAAUUGCCUAGGUGAUGUUGUGCAAUAUACCUGAGACCAGAUCAAUGGCCUAAUAAUGACUCUUUUACCUAGAGCCAGGACAUGUGCAGGAUGGUAACUCUCAUCCCUGAACCUUUCCACAGGUGUUAUUGUCACAUAUACCUUUUCCAGCUCCAAAGUGAUUUAAUAAUCCAGCCUAGUUAUAGCCCACAGAUAAUAUUUGGACAUAUACCUGAGUCAAGAACCUUGGUGAUUUGACUCUCAUGUCUUAACAGUGUCCUCAGAAGGGAUCAUAACAUAUCUCUGGACCCAUCAUCUAGGUUAUGUGACUCUCUUCUCCUGCCUGAACCCUGCUUCCAGUGAAGAGUGUUGCAUUUCUAAGCACUGCAUCCAAAUGACAUGAGUUUCUUGCCUGGGCCGUUUCAACAGAAGGCAUUGUGACAUAUCUCUAGGUCUAUCAUUUAGGUGAUAUGACUCUCCUCUCCUGCCUGGACACUCUCCACAAGGGGCAUUAUGCCAUAGAGCUAGAGCUAGCAACCAAGUUUUGUGAAUUUUCUGUUAGGGCCUUGCCUACAAAGAGAAUUUUGGAAUAUUUCUGGCUUAGAAUUUAAGUAAUGUGGUUGUUCUGCCUGUUCAGUAACCACAGAGGAGAAGGUGAAAUAUAUCUAGGCACCGCAAACAGGCAUGAUAAUGAGUCUUGUAUGUGGACCCAGCAAAUAGGAGAAAUUUUGACUCUUAUAACUAGGUUUAGGAACAUGAGUGAUGUCCAGGAUCUCCUUCUGGUAAGAAGGUCACAGAAGAUUGCAACACUCACAAUUAUUUUGUAACACCUUUGGGUUGUAUAGGGAGUGUCGUAACAGGGCCAAACACACAGAGGAAAUUGUGACAGUCAUAUGCACACCUACCUGACAGUAAAGACUUUCACAAUCACAAAUGGAUGAAGGCAACUGUCCUACAUGAAAACAGGACAUGUGUGGUAUUGUACAUCUAAAACCUAGAAUUUUAUUCCAUUGUGACUGUGAUAUAAAUCAAUGCCAAGCACCUGCGUGAUUUC